rnacentral:rRNA from 1 species
CCGCGUGAGGGAGACGGCCUUCGGGUUGUAAACCCCUUUUGUUGGAAAGAAACGAAACUGACUGUUCCUGGGUAGUUCUGACGGCUAACUACAUGCCACCCCCCGCGAUUAUACGCCAGGUGCCAGCGUUGUCCGGAAGUAGCGGGCGUUACUAGCUCUUACGGGGCUUGUCGCGUCUGCUGGGGAAUCCCUAGGCUCAACCUCGGGUCUGCGGUGUGUACCGGCAAACUACAGUGCGGUCGGGGAGAUUGGAAUUCGUGGUGUGGCAGUGGAAUGCCCGGAUAUCAGGAGGAACACCGAUGGCUAAGGCAGAUCUCUGGGCCGCUACUGACCCUCAUGAGCCAAAGGGUGGGGAGCAAACAGGCUUAGAUACCCUGGUAGUCCACCCCGUAAACUUUGGGCGCUAGAUGUGGGGACCAUUCCACGGUUUCCGUGUCCUAUCUAACGCAUUAAGCGCCCCCCCUGGGGAGUACGGCCGCAAGGGUAAAACUCAAAGGAAUUGACGGGGGUCCGCACAAGCGGCGGAGCAUGCCGAUUAAUUCGAUGCAACGCGAAGAACCUUACCAAGGCUUGACAUAUACAAGAACGGGCCACAAAUGGUCAACUCUUUGGACACUC